rnacentral:rRNA from 1 species
UACAGAGGUCUCAAGCGUUUGUUCGGAUUCAUUGGGCGUAAAGGGUGCGUAGGCGGCGCGGUAAGUCGGGUGUGAAAUCUUGGAGCUUAACUCCGAAACUGCAUUCGAUACUGCCGUGCUUGAGGACUGGAGAGGAGACUGGAAUUUACGGUGUAGCGGUGAAAUGCGUAGAUAUCGUAAGGAAGACCAGUGGCGAAGGCGGGGUCUCUGGACAGUUCCUGACGCUGAAGCACGAAGGCCCAGGGGGAGCAAAACGGGG